rnacentral:lncRNA from 1 species
UGUCCUGGUGACUUUUUUGGAUUAAAUUCUUUUAUUAUUCUAAUAGUUUCAGAAGGUGAGGUCUUAAAAGACUCGAGUGACUCGUUAGCUGCAUUGGGUAAGUUGGACAGCUCAAAGUUGUUCUUUGGAACAAUCAGCCUUUUCCUCGUCAUUUCGAGCCUAAUUUGCACCCAAGUCUCGUAUAGGUAUGUUGCAGUCAAUUGGUAGCUUCAUGGACUUUUGAGCUUUCCAAAGGGAAUUUUGCUUGCUUGAAUUUGGACACAGCUUAUUUAUUUAAAUUUCAAUAUUGAAUUCUACUUCACGUUAAAGCGCUUUUUUUAAUUACAACUGAUUUACGUACAGCUGGGCCCGAAUCGCGGCACACGUUAACGAGCGAAAUUUAUUUUUUUUUGUUUUCGGAUCGUUGUACUCGCUAUCGAACACGUACUUUUGAAAUUUGAAAUUUUCUCAUUCGAUAACGAGUUCUCGUUUGUACGAAAGAAUCGAAAUUUCAUUCGUUAGCUAUUUGAGAAACUUUAUAGCACAAAUUAUAUAAAAAAAUUUGAAUAUAUCAGCUAAAAUAAUCCGAGGGGCAAAAUGACCAAUGUAAAUAAAAUAAAUAUGUAUGUGUCAAAAAAAUUUGAUGACUGCAUCAGGACUUGGCAAAAAAUAUUUUGCCUAAUUAUGGGCAAGGCAAAGUUGCAGCAAAUAAGCUAUGGGAGGCAUUGACUUUAAAACUGAACGCUGCCGAGCUACCGACGAAAGAUGCUAAAUCUUGGCGAAAAGUAUUUGCUGAUCAAAAACACAACAAAAAAAAGAAAAUUUCUUUCAACAAAGCCUCGAAACAAAGUACUGUUGGUGGUCGGUACGAGGAAAAACUUUUAACUGCAGCAGAAGAACAACUCCUCCAAGCUACGGGGAUAGAUGUUGCUGUAGAAGGGUUGACCGUAGUAAAAUCUUUUGGAAAUGUAGAGCCCGAAGAAGUAUUAAAUGAGUUGGUAGAAAUGAUUAUAGAUAGCGAGGAAGAAGAAGAUCCGACACCAUCCACCAGUCGCAGUGCGAAAAAAAACAUGUAAAACGAAGUCCACUGCCGAAAGUGAAAAAGUUUCUCUUUUAAAAUGCAAUUUCCACGCAUAUGAAGUAACGCAAACGCAAAUAAAUGAAAAUCUGGAGAAACUAUUUGCUCUAAAGGAGAGACCUCUUUAAAUAAAAGAAGAGGUACAUACUGCAGAUA